UUUGAUCGUCGUUAGUCAUAGAGCAACACAGGCCACCGGCGGACCGGAGGGGAGUAGCCAUACACAGGCGUUCCCCUCUGUCAAAGUACAAGUCCAAAUGGUCCUAUGCGUACAAUAAAACUAGUUGCAACUAAACUAUUCGCUAGACUAAAUCUAGUUGCGUGAGUGAAUCGACGUCGUCGUAAAAAAUGCCGAAUUGUUCUGUUUUUUGCUGCAAAAAGAGAUCUGCCACGUCAAAUUUACAAAAAGAUGGCGUUACCUUUCAUAUGUUUCCUAAAGAUCCAAAUUUAAGAAAUAUAUGGAAGACAUUUUCUCAUAACAGACCAACCUGGAUUCCCACAAGAAAUAGUGUCAUUUGCUCAAAUCAUUUUAAGACCUCUGACUUUCAAGUGUUGGCGAACAAUAGGAGGAGAUUAGUCGAUGGCGCCAAACCAACCGCCAACUGUAUUUGUUCCGUAAGUUUUUAUUUUAUUCAUGUGCAAGGUCAUAGAUAAUAUAAUACUAGCUUAGGUAAACGAAUAGUACAUUCCACAUGAUGUACCUCGUUGACGUUAGUCAUAGUGGUGAAAUGAAGCCUACAUUUUUAAACUUAAUCUAAUUUUCCAGAAUCAUCGACAAUCAUUAAAUAUACCAGAUGAGAGGUUAUCAUCUAAUGGGCCCAUUAAUGACACUCGGACUAUUCCUAAUUCAUUGACAUCACCGUGUAGAUCGUCAACUCCUCAAAAUACUCAGUCAAAGGAAACAUCUAAAAAAUCUGCUUCAAUUCCCACUACUGCACUUACACCAAGAAAA